rnacentral:tRNA from 13 species
GCCCAGGUAGCUCAGUCGGUAGAGCAGGGGAUUGAAAAUCCCCGUGUCGGUGGUUCGAUUCCGCCCCUGGGCA